rnacentral:rRNA from 3 species
UAGGGAAUCUUCGGCAAUGGACGAAAGUCUGACCGAGCAACGCCGCGUGAGUGAAGAAGGUUUUCGGAUCGUAAAACUCUGUUGUUAGAGAAGAACAAGGACGUUAGUAACUGAACGUCCCCUGACGGUAUCUAACCAGAAAGCCACGGCUAACUACGUGCCAGCAGCCGCGGUAAUACGUAGGUGGCAAGCGUUGUCCGGAUUUAUUGGGCGUAAAGCGAGCGCAGGCGGUUUCUUAAGUCUGACGUGAAAGCCCCCGGCUCAACCGGGGAGGGUCAUUGGAAACUGGGAGACUUGAGUGCAGAAGAGGAGAGUGGAAUUCCAUGUGUAGCGGUGAAAUGCGUAGAUAUAUGGAGGAACACCAGUGGCGAAGGCGGCUCUCUGGUCUGUAACUGACGCUGAGGCUCGAAAGCGUGGGGAGCAAACAGG